rnacentral:rRNA from 1 species
CCUACGGGUGGCAGCAGUGGGGGAUAUUGCACAAUGGGGGCAACCCUGAUGCAGCGACGCCGCGUGAGUGAAGAAGUAUUUCGGUAUGUAAAGUUCUAUCAGCAGGGAAGAAAAUGACAGUAUCUGACCUAGAUGCCCCGGGUAUAUAUGCGCCACAAGCGGCGGGAAAACGCAGGUGGGAUAUUAAGUCUGGUGUUAAAUGCAGAGGCACAACUUCUGUUCGGCACUUGAAACUGGUAAGCUUGAAUGCUGUAGAGGUAGAGGGAAUUCCUGGUGUAGCGGUGAAAUGCGUAGAUAUGAGGAGGAACAUCGGUGGCGUAGGCGCUUUACUGGGCCGUAAUUGACACUGAGGAACGAAAGCCGGGGUAGCAAAUGGGAUUAGAUACCCCAGUAGUC